GUUAAAGAAGUCGCCCAUUUUAACCUAUUACACCCUAUAUUUAUAAUUUUAGGGAAAAUAUCGCUCUAAAUCCGGUACUGAUAUUUUUGUAUAGGAUUGUUCAAAUUUGACGUUACCAACUUUACAGAAUUGGAAGGUGGUGAUGGUAUGCGGUGCUUCCAGAGGGAUUCCAGUAGAAUCCUGACAGGGAUACCAGUAAACUCCUGACAGGUAUUCCAAAGAAAUCCUGAUAAGGAUCUCGGGGGUAUCCUAACAGGUAUUCCAGGGAAAAUCCUGUCAGAACAGCCAUUCUGAUGAAAUCCUUACAGGAAUUCCGAAGGAAACCUAACAAGAAUCCUGACAGGAGUUCCAGGGGAAUCAGGACAGGGAUACCAGCGCAAAUCUGGCAGGAAAUCCACGGGGAUCUUGGCAAUAAUUUCAGAAAUGGCAGAAAUUCUAGCAGUAUUCUGGUAUGAAUUCUAGUAGAAUUCUAGAAGGCAAUUCCAGACGAUUUCUGGCAGGGAUUCAAGGAAAAUCUUGGCAGGAUUGCCAGGAUAAUCCUAACAGGGAUUCCAGAUGGUUCCUUGCAGGUGUUUCAGUGAGAAUCCUGACAAGAAUUCCUGUGCAAAUAUCCUGACAAAGAUUCCAUCUUGAGUUCUGGCAUGGAUUCCAGUGGAAAUCAUGAUCAGUGCAAAUCCUGACAAGGAUUCCAGUUGGAAUCCUGACAGGGAAUCCAGUAGGAAUUCUGACAGGGAUUCCAGUAGGAAUCCGGUCAGGAUUUCCUUGGCAUCCCUGUCAGGACUCCCCCGGAAUCCCCGUCGGGACUCCCCCAGAAUCCCUUUCGGGAUUCCCCCGGAUCCCUAUACAGACUCCUCUGAAAUCCCUGUUGGGACUCCCUCGGAGUCCCAGCAGGAUUCUCCUGGAAUUCCUGUCAGGAUUCCUCUGGAAUCUCUGUUGGGAUUACGCUAGAUUUACUGCCUGGGUUUUGGUAGAAUUUCUGCCAGGAUUCCGCUAGAAUUCACGUCAGUAUUCCCACUGAAAUUCAGGAUUCUGCUGGAAUUAUUGCGAAGAUUGAAUUCCUGCCAGAGAUUGCACCGGAAUGACUGCCAGGGUUACACCGGAUUUCCUGUUGGCAACUCUUAUUAGAAUUCCUCCGGAGUUCCUUUUAGGAUUCCUCUGGAAUUCCUGUUAGGAUUCCUCCUGAAUUUCUUUCAGGAUCCCUCCAGAACCCCUAUAAAAAUUUCUCCGCAAUUCCUGUCAGGAUUCCGUUGAAAUUCCUGUCAGGAUCCUUCCGGAAUUCCUGUCAUGGUUCAACCGGAAUUCAUGUCAGGAUUUCUCUGGAAUACCUGUCACAAUUCUUCUUGAAUCCCUGUCAGGAUACUUCUGGAAUUCCUUGGGAAGCAUCCCAUUCUGUAAAGUUGAUAACGUCAAAUUUAAACAUUACUAUAUUGCUUUUUUUGCACCGUAUUCGACCCCCUGCAGAAAUUUUUUGUCACACCACAAUAUGUUCCCACCAGUUUCAGCAUACAUUGGUUCGUUUCACUGCUAGAAAUUUUAAGCGUCAGUUACACUUUUUGGGUGGUGCAUGGAAUAAUCGGUUUGUUUACAUGCUACUUUCCUUUGUGUUUGACGUGUGAACAAAUAUUUUAGACGAUUGAACAUUUGCACGGUAAUCUAUGAAGCAAAGCAAGAUGCAAUACAAAAACAUCAGUACAGUAGACGUUCGGUCGGUGCAAACGGUUUAACUGCAAUGCUUUUUAACUGCAAGUCCGGUAAGUGCAACAAUUUUGCAGUUAUCGCACCGCUAUCCGUCAAAACGGUGCGCCAGGUUAGCCCAAAUGAACAGUUGAAUGAAUUUUGCAUUCCUUUAACGUCAAUUGACGGGUUGUUGACGCCUGCCUGACGUUGCAGUUAUCGAAUUUUAUUCGCUAAGUGAAACGUAAACAUGUUGCAGUUAUCGAACGUCUACUGUAU